UACGUAGGGUGCGAGCGUUAAUCGGAAUUACUGGGCGUGAAGCGUGCGCAGGCGGUUUUGCAAGCCGGAUGUGAAAUCCCCGGGCUCAACCUGGGAAUGGCAUUCGGGACUGCAAGGCUGGAGUGCGGCAGAGGAGACUGGAAUUCCUGGUGUAGCAGUGAAAUGCGUAGAUAUCAGGAGGAAUACCGAUGGCGAAGGCAGGUCUCUGGGCUGACACUGACGCUCAUGCACGAAAGCGUGGGGAGCAAACAGG
rnacentral:rRNA from 1 species